rnacentral:rRNA from 1 species
AUUGAACGCUGGCGGCAGGCCUAACACAUGCAAGUCGAGCGGAGCGGAGGACGGGCGAGUAAUGCCUAGGAGUCUGCCUGGUCGUGGGGGAUAACGUCCGGAAACGGGAGAUAAUACCGCAUACUAUCAGAUGAGCCUAGGUAGUCUUAGCUAGUUGGUGGGGUAAAGGCCUACCAAGGCGACGAUCCGUAACUGGUCUGAGAGGAUGAUCAGUCACACUGGAAAGGAGACAUGGCCCAGACUCCGACGGGAGGCAGCAGUGGGGAAUAUUGGACAAUUGGCGAAAGCCUGAUGCAGCCAUGCCGCGUGUGUGAAGAAGGUCUUCGGAUUGUAAUGCACUUUAAGUUGGGAGGCGUUACCAACAGAAUAAGCACCGGCUAACUUCGUGCCAGCAGCCGCGGUAAUAC